CUAUGCGCCUUGCCAGCCCGCUCAGGUGUGCCAGCCGCCGCGGUAAUACGUAGGGAGCAAGCGUUGUCCGGAUUACUGGGUGUAAAGGGUGCGUAGGCGGCAAUGCAAGUCAGAUGUGAAAUCUAUGGGCUCAACCCAUAAACUGCAUUUGAAACUGCGUUGCUUGAGUGAAGUAGAGGCAGGCGGAAUUCCCCGUGUAGCGGUGAAAUGCGUAGAGAUGGGGAGGAACACCAGUGGCGAAGGCGGCCUGCUGGGCUUUAACUGACGCUGAGGCACGAAAGCGUGGGUAGCAAACAGG
rnacentral:rRNA from 1 species